GAGCGGGGCCGGCCUCUCCCUCGGUCCCUCUCCAUCCCGGCUGGGUGACAGGAGGGUCUCUGGUCCCCUCGGGCGGGGGAGGCCGCAACCGCCCGGGCGUUGGGGAGAUGCUUUCGCCCCCUCAAGCGGGGAGGCUGGGGCCGACGGGGAGGCCUCGGGCGCGGGAAGCCGGUACCGGCCGAGGUAGGCCCCUUCUGGGCAGGGCUCCUGCCGCACUGGCCGCCGGCUGCUCUCCCCAGGUCCUCCUUCCCGCGCCAUGUUGCAGCGAAGCUUCUUGAGGGUGGUGGCGGCCGGUUCCUCUUCGCUUCUUCUCCCCCGUCGCUGAACGAGGGAAAGCUGCGGCGUGAGGACAUGGCUGCGGACCGGCAGGACGCCCCCCCCCUCGCUGUGCAGGAGGAGGAGGAAGGUGUGAGUGGAGCCUGGCAGAAGACAAAGGGUGAAGUGAAAAAAGAUUCUGUGCCUUGAAAAAUCAAGGAGAAAGCCGUGUGACGUGGCAGACCCAGGAGGUCUUCUCAAAGACCUGAGUUACUUUUGAGAACAGGACUGAGUUCUGGAACUUGCUUCAAAUAUUGAAGAUCGUGCCUUGAGUUUUAGAAUUUCUAGCAAACCUGGCUACAGCAAAAUAAAUGGUUGGCAGUGUCUGCAUUUGAAGAUUCCUGAAACUUCAUCUUUUCUCACACAUGGGUUCAAGCACACUACAGCCAAAAUGCAUGUGAUGCAGCUUGUGGUUCUGAAUGUUUGCUGUAACCUGUGUACUCAACUGUCUGUCUAAAAAAAAUUACAGCUGUUCUGCUCCAA